GAUGAACGCUGGCGGCGUGCUUAACACAUGCAAGUCGAACGGUGAACGAGGGAGCUUGCUCCCUCCGGAUCAGUGGCGAACGGGUGAGUAACACGCGAGCAAUCUGCCCUUGACUCUGGGAUAAGCGCUGGAAACGGCGUCUAAUACCGGAUACGACCCUCGGAGGCAUCUCCCGUGGGUGGAAAGAACUUCGGUCAAGGAUGAGCUCGCGGCCCAUCAGCUUGUUGGUGGGGUAACGGCUCACCAAGGCGACGACGGGUAGUCGGGCUGAGAGGGUGACCGGCAACACUGGGACUGAGACACGGCCCAGACUCCUACGGGAGGCAGCAGUGGGGAAUAUUGCACAAUGGGCGCAAGCCUGAUGCAGCAACGCCGCGUGAGGGACGACGGCCUUCGGGUUGUAAACCUCUUUUAGCAGGGAAGAAGCGAGAGUGACGGUACCUGCAGAAAAAGCACCGGCUAACUACGUGCCAGCCGCCGCGGUAACAC
rnacentral:rRNA from 1 species